rnacentral:rRNA from 1 species
UACGUAGGGUGCGAGCGUUGUCCGGAAUUACUGGGCGUAAAGAGCUCGUAGGCGGUUUGUCACGUCUGCUGUGAAAUCCCGAGGCUCAACCUCGGGCCUGCAGUGGGUACGGGCAGACUGGAGUGCGGUAGGGGAGAAUGGAAUUCCUGGUGUAGCGGUGGAAUGCGCAGAUAUCAGGAGGAACACCAAUAGCGAAGGCAGCUCGCUGGGACGGUAUUGACGCUAAGGCGCGAAAGCGUGGGGAGCGAACAGG